AACGAACGCUGGCGGCGCGUCUUAAGCAUGCAAGUCGAACGGCAAGAGAGAAGCUUGCUUCUCUCCUAGAGUGGCGGACUGGUGAGGAACACGUGGGUAAUCUACCCUUAAGAUGGGGAUAGCUGCUAGAAAUAGCAGGUAAUACCGAAUACACUCAGUUUUUCAUAAGAAGGAUUGAGGAAAGGAAGCUACGGCUUCGCUUGAGGAUGAGCUUGCGUCCCAUUAGCUUGUUGGUGAGGUAACGGCCCACCAAGGCGACGAUGGGUAUCCGGCCUGAGAGGGUGAUCGGACACAUUGGGACUGAGAUACGGCCCAAACUCCUACGGGAGGCAGCAGCUAAGAAUAUUCCGCAAUGGACGAAAGUCUGACGGAGCGACGCCGCGUGGAUGAAGAAGGCUGAAAAGUUGUAAAAUCCUUUUGUUGAUGAAGAAUAAGGGUGAGAGGGAAUGUUUCAUCUGAUGACGGUAAUCAGCGAAUAAGCCCCG
rnacentral:rRNA from 1 species